rnacentral:rRNA from 1 species
UUCCAGACUCCUACGGGAGGCAGCAGUGGGGGAUAUUGCACAAUGGGGGGAACCCUGAUGCAGCGACGCCGCGUGGGUGAAGAAGCGCCUCGGCGCGUAAAGCCCUGUCAGCAGGGAAGAAAAUGACGGUACCUGAAGAAGAAGCCCCGGCUAACUACGUGCCAGCAGCCGCGGUAAUACGUAGGGGGCGAGCGUUAUCCGGAUUUACUGGGUGUAAAGGGGGCGCAGACGGCAGCGCAAGCCAGGAGUGAAAGCCCGGGGCCCAACCCCGGGACUGCUCUUGGAACUGCGCGGCUGGAGUGCAGGAGGGGCAGGCGGAAUUCCUGGUGUAGCGGUGAAAUGCGUAGAUACCAGGAGGAACACCAGUGGCGAAGGCGGCUUGCUGGACGAUGACUGACGUUGAGGCUCGAAAGCGUGGGGAGCAAACAGGAUUAGAUACCCGGGUACA